AUCUUAACAGCAUCAGUUCCUUCACCAUGGAACUUCUUUUCCAAAAAAAAUGCCUUAAGAUACAUGAACAUCUUAUGUCUAUCAAGAAGAUAGAAGACAUAUCCUUAAUAUAAUAUUUAUUAGAUUAAGAUCCAUGCUAGUCGGUUUGUGGAUAUUUUAUAUAAGUCCGACACUCCAAAUAAGGGAGUAUCGAAUUACCCA
rnacentral:lncRNA from 1 species